rnacentral:rRNA from 1 species
AUGUAUCAUAAGAUCAUACAUGGGCAGGACAACAAACUUUUGGAGGAUGCUCCAGAUGCUACUACUAGCACUUUAUUAUUGCCUGAUUUUAUUUGUGAGCAGGUUACAUCGCUGCACGUGUAUGAUAACCCGUCUAUCACCAGUGUCCCUGCAUCUCCCCACGGAUUAGUAUUGGAUAGUCUAAUAUGGUGCCGGGUAGAGAGGUGCCCCAAGUUGCACACUGUCUUUACUGUUCCUCAGGGCCCUUUUUGUCUGGAGACAUUCUGGGCGUCCCAGCUUCUCUCCGCAGUCUACAUCUGGGACAAACCAGUUAAAAGUAAGUUCAAACACAUCGAAAUCUUGCACCUGGACUACUGCCCCAGGCUUGUACAUGUGCUCCCCAUGUCCAUAUGGAAGAGAGGCACCACCUUUUCUAGCCUGGAGACCAUUGAGAUACUGUACUGCAGUGACCUCAGGGAGAUAGUGUACUGCGGUGACCUCAGGGAGGUCUUCCCUUUGGGCCCUGAGCAUCAACAACAGGAUAUAAUUCUCGAAUUUCCCAAGCUGAGGCACAUCCACCUGCACGAGCUCCCUACGUUGCAGUGUAUCUGUGGGCGCAGGAUGUCCGCGCCUAAACUCGAGACUAUCAAGAUCAGGGGCUGCUGGAGCCUUAGGCGUCUGCCUGCCGUUGGACGUGACACUAAACCACCCACGGUGGACUGUGAGAAGGAAUGGUGGGACAACCUGGAGUGGGACGCGUUGGAGAAGUACCACCACCCUUCCCUCUACGAGCCGAGCCACUCGCUAUACUACAAGAAGGCCCAGCUGCCCAGAGGCACCGUACUCAGGUGA